rnacentral:rRNA from 1 species
UACGGGGGGGCAAGCGUUGUUCGGAAUUACUGGGCGUAAAGGGCUCGUAGGCGGCCAACUAAGUCAGACGUGAAAUCCCCAGGCUCAACCUGGGAACUGCGUCUGAUACUGGAUGGCUUGAAUCCGGGAGAGGGAUGCAGAAUUCCAGGUGUAGCGGUGAAAUGCGUAGAUAUCUGGAGGAAUACCGGUGGCGAAGGCGGCAUCUGGACCGGCAUUGACGCUGAGGAGCGAAAGCCAGGGGAGCAAAGCGGG